CUUCUGCCCUCCUCCUUGUAUCUAUCUGAUGGGCUGAUCUGUCUGUCCUGUAGGUUCUUCUGUCCUCCUCCUUGUAUCUAUCUGAUGGGCUGAUCUGUCUGUCCUGUAGGUUCUUCUGCCCUCCUCCUUGUAUCUAUCUGAUGGGCUGAUCUGUCUGUCCUGUAGGUUCUUCUGUCCUCCUCCUUGUAUCUAUCUGAUGGGCUGAUCUGUCUGUCCUGUAGGUUCUUCUGUCCUCCUCCUUGUAUCUAUCUGAUGGGCUGAUCUGUCUGUCCUGUAGGUUCUUCUGCCCUCCUCCUUGUAUCUAUCUGAUGGGCUGAUCUGUCUGUCCUGUAGGUUCUUCUGUCCUCCUCCUUGUAUCUAUCUGAUGGGCUGAUCUGUCUGUCCUGUAGGUUCUUCUGCCCUCCUCCUUGUAUCUAUCUGAUGGGCUGUGGCUGGAAGAAGAAGACAGAGGAGAUGGAGAGAGAGGGCAGUUCAGAGCAGGAGGCUCAGCCCUGUGCCUUUAUAGGGAUAGGAAACAGUGACCAGGAGAUGCAGCAACUCAACAUAGAGGGGAAGGACUUCUGCACAGCUAAGACUCUAUACAUCAGUGACAGUGACAAGAGGAAACACUUCAUGCUGUCAGUCAAGAUGUUCUAUGGUAACAGUACAGACAUAGGAGUCUUCCUUAGUAAGAGGAUCAAAGUUAUCUCAAAACCGUCCAAGAAGAAACAGUCUCUGAAGAACGCUGACCUGUGUAUAGCGUCAGGGACCAAGGUUGCGUUGUUUAACCGGCUGCGUUCUCAGACCGUCAGUACCCGCUACCUACACGUGGAGGGAGGGAACUUCCAUGCCAGUUCACAACAGUGGGGAGCCUUCUACAUACACCUCUUGGAGGAGGAAGAGCCGGAAGGGGAGGAGUUUGCAGUGAGGGAUGGAUACAUCCACUAUGGUCAGACUGUCAAACUGGUCUGUUCUGUCACUGGUAUGGCGCUGCCUAGACUGGUGAUCCGUAAGGUGGACAAGCAGACAGCAUUGAUGGAUGCAGGGUGUCUCUCACCCAGUGUCUCAGCUCCACAAGUGUUCCUUCUACCUGAAAGACACCGUGAGAAUGUACCUCUGUCUCUCCCAGGAGAGAAUCAUUCAGUUCCAGGCCACGCCCUGCCCCAAAGAGCCCAGUAAGGAGAUGAUAAACGAUGGAGCCUCCUGGACCAUCAUCAGUACAGACAAGGCAGAGUACACCUUCUACCAGGGGAUGGGUCCUGUACCCUGUCCUGUUACACCAGUCCCUGUGGUGGAGAGUCUACAGUUGAAUGGUGGAGGUGAUGUGGCCAUGUUGGAGCUGACAGGACAGAACUUUGCUCCAGAUCUCCGAGUCUGGUUUGGAGAUAUCGAGGCUGACACCAUGUACAGGUGUGGAGAGAGCGUGCUCUGCGUGGUGCCUGACAUCUCGGCCUUCAGAGAGGGGUGGCGCUGGGUCCGUCAGCCCGUCCAGGUCCCCGUCACCUUGGUCCGCAACGACGGAGUCAUCUACUCCACGGCCCUCACCUUCACCUAUACCCCAGAACCAGGCCCUCGUCUUCACUGCAGCGCUGCCGGAGCCAUCCUCCAGACCCACAGUCACAGUAUCUCCUCUUCGUCCUCAUCCUCGCCUUCCUCAGGGAGUAUGGGGAUGGGAGGUUUAGGGGGGUUGGCGGAAGGACAGACGGGCUACGGGAUUGGUCAAGGGGGAGGGUCAACCAAUAGCGUUGGGUUGUUGUCGGGUUCAUCGGUGAUGUCAGUUUCGUCAUAGCAGCGGGGAAGUGUGUGUGUGUGGGGGAGGUGAGAGGCUCAUGGACCUGCUUUGGAACCACCCUCGCUCGCUCAAGGACUCUUUGGAAAGAGAGCGAUUGAGUUGAGGAGGAGAAGGGAAGAAGAGAGAUGAGGUUCUGAUGAAAGACAGACCUGGAUGGAGGCGGAUCCCCUCUCUCUGGCGCCCCCGUGUGGUCGGUUGUGGACAUGACACUGCAGCCUGGGUCAUUCAGUCUGGGAGAGGUUUCACCUCGAGGAUGACACAAUAACUAGGAGCCCUUUUUAUACAUUUGUUGGAGAACAACUUUUUAUAUUUUAUUUUCAACACUCUUUCUACAAAGUUUAGAUAUUUUUUUUGGCUCACAACAAAGGGCUUUGGUAAUGAUGGAGAUAUCACUCGUGUGCAGAGAAACGUCAUUAUUGUUUAUGGGUGAAACAUUUUAUUAUAGUAACCAUUUCUUACGGACCAAGGAAUAUUAUUGUUAUUUUAUUCUUUAUGAUAUUUUAUAAGCUUUUAGCCGAGGUACAUUUUCAAAUGUUGUUUUUUUUGUAUUAUAAUGUUUUCGGGAGUACACCUUUUUGUUACCAAAUAGUUGUUUUGUUUUUUUCUCCAUUUGAGAACGAGAGAGGCAUCUCUGAGGAGACGUGAUUCAGGCUGCGUCUCAAUCGCCUAAAAACUGGAUUCCUCCCUUUAUUAGUGUGAAAGAGUGACGCGACCUCUGGGUGCUUUGUGCAAGUCUUAAAGUCUGGAAAAGGUCAGGGUUGUAAUUAUCUGAAGAGUUGAACAACUGAAAGCAAACUCGCAGUAGGUUAUCUCUCUCUCUACCCCAUCUCUUCCACCUUCUCUGUCCUGUCCGGGUUAAGGAGAGGAAAUUAGGCUUGGUGGUAAAGGGAGGAAGGAAGCCAUUUUGAGACGGUUGACAUGCACCCCAUAAUCUCAGACAGUUUCUUAGCAACCUUAAAUCUUCCUGGCCAAUCGCCUUAAAUUGAUCAGUCACCAGACCUUUUUAGAAGAAAUGAAAAAUAUAUACUUUUUUUUGUUUUUUUUUUUGUGUUUAUAUAAGGUUGUCGUUUUCUGAAACUGUCUAAGAGUGUUUGGUCGACACUCGUCAAGCCAAGGCCUGGGAAUGUCUCAUCAUGUCGUUGGUCUCUGUCUCUCUAAUGACACCUGAUUUCCUAAAUAGUGCACUACUUUAGACCAGGACUCUCCUAUAGGGGAUCCUAAAUAGUGCACUACUUUAGACCAGGGCCCUCCUAUAGGGGAUCCUAAAAUAGGGAUUGGAGUGCCGUUUGGGAUGCAGAAGUUGGUUUUUACACUACCGUUCGGGCCUCAUUCCCAAAUCGUCCCCUAGUAGACGUUUGUGUAAAUCUGAGAGGAUUGUACAGGUAUUACCAAUAUGGUAAUCACCCCUGUGGCCUUCUCGGCUUCGGGUAAUUCAUGCCAUUUUUGAUUACUUAGUGCAUCUAGGGGUCAUUUGCUUACCUGGUGCACGCUAUCUAUGGGCUAGGGAUUGGUUUGGGACUGGGCAGAAGUCUUUUUUUUUUUUUUUUUUUACAAAGAGCUUUAAAAAUGCCACAACUGCCUUUUUUAGCUUGUAACACUUUCAAGCAGCUCCCCCUCUUAUCUAUCUAAUGAAGCCGUAGCAUCAAACAGAAAAUCACUUGCGUCGCUAAGCUGAUAGCCCCACUACACUGUAAAUGUAAUUCGCUAAAGCGUCAUUGGAAUUCAAUUGGCUAAGCUAAUGGCUAAUGCUACAAUGUAAUUCUAUGAGUGAAGCUAAGCUAAUGCUACUAUGUAGUUCUAUUUUAGUGAAGCUAAGCUAAGCUACAAUGUAAGUCUAGUAGUGAAGCUAAUGCUAAUAUGUAAUUAAUGUCACUUGGCUCUACAGCUAAACUUAAUUGAAAUCACGAUGCCUUUUUUUUUUUAACACUCCCUAGCAAGAGACUGUUUUCUGUCUCACCACUGUCUGUUUUCUCACAAAGUAGCCUCUUUUUGUAGCUUAAGUGUUUCACACGUCACAUUUUUAGGUAGCCUAUCAGUCGGUGUGUUUUUAUCUUCAUUUUUGUUCAUCAUGAGGGAAUCAUUUUUUCCUAUGUUCAGCAAACAACUACAAUGUUUUCCCUUCGCUGUAGGAAAAAAAACGGUUAUCGAAACGAUUGCCAAAUUAUGUGUGUCCCAACUUUGUUGUGGAUCAGGUCAGUGGUCCUGUCACCUGUUGCUUGCCUGUCAUUGGUGCUGUACUACGCUGAAAGGGAUGGUUGCUCUGUUACUAUGGGAACAGGUUAUGAUCACACGUACUGUAACUGGCUCUAACUGAUUUUGAUUUGAGUUGUAACAGUUUUUUUAUUUUUUUGCCGGUUUUCGUCUUGGAUCAACGCUCGUAUGGCUGUUUUUUGGUGUUAUUAAUUGAUUUAAAAAAACCCUGUGGAAGUUAUUUAGUUGGCAAUCGGUUCUCAAAUACAGGUCACCAGUUUUUUUUAACUUUCUUGGAAGAAAAUUCUCUUUGUUCUGCUCUGCUUUUAAUUGUGGUGUCUUGCCUCUUCUUAACAAGUACGAGGAACAAUAUAACUGUUCUCAAAUCUGUGGUCCCCACUCAAACCCUAACCAGUAUAAGCUAACACAACUAUAAAACUGGCCUGGGAUCAUUUCUUACGUGAUGAUUUUUUUCCCUCCCUUCAUUUGGUGUGGUGUCUCUUGGGUCGUUAUUCACUAGGAAACUAAAACGGAAUCUAACUCUGCAGGCAACGACCUGAACUUGUCUCAAUAAGAAACGUUUGUUUUUCCCAUUGCAAAACAUUCUGCGUGAUUUGCACUAAUGAAUACAACCCUGCCCCCCUAAUGAAUACAACCAAACCUUUUUCCUCCCUUCCCUGUUACAGCUAAACCACUCGUAUUGCCUUAGCUCAGCCUAUGGAGUGAGCCAUCGCUGGUUCUGGUGGGCCGUAGUGUGAAGGCAGGAUUUUGUUCCAGCUCUUAACAUACCCAAUUUAAUCUAGCCUAAUCGUGGUCAAUAAAUCAAUUCAAGACCAGGAGUAGUGGCUUCAUUUACAGUUGUGUUUGAGCAGGGUCGGGACAAAUACCUGCACACACACACAACUCUUUUAAGACUAGAGUUGUGUACCCCGGCCUUAUCUAUAGUGUAGGUGAACCUAACGCAGAAAUAGCCACCACUCUGUGGUUGUCUGGGUUGAAGACACUGAUCUGAUUCACACUAAAUGGAGGCUUGACCAGUUCAGUACAGCUCGGGUUUGGCCCUGUAGUUGUGAAUCAAGUGUUUGUUUUGUUUUUUUGCUUUCCUGAGAACUGAAAUAAUAAACAAUACUCUUAACAUGCCAAAUGUAUCAACUUUCCCCCCGUUUAUAACUUUGUCUGAACGGGGACCCUAGUCCAAUAUACAGGUCAUUACUUACAUAGUCUGGUCAAAUGUAUCACUAUGUAGGGAAUAGGUUGCCAGUUCAGACAAAGUUUGUGAUUUUCCUGCUUUGGACCUCUUGAAAGCCAGCACAUAAAGAAGACAAGGCAAAAUAAAUCAAAUGCAUUGAGUUUGUUUUUUAAAAAUGUCUCUGAAUAAAAUGUCUUUAUGCCUUCAGGCUCUCUUGGUUGAGUGAGUCACUCUGAGAAAAAAAAAAGGGCAGGUCUGACAGCAUUGGAGAAAGAAAAGGUCAAGAAAUAAAAGUUGGGAGUUGG